CGUGUAGGCGGUCCGUUAAGUCUGAUGUGAAAGCCCGGGGCUCACCCCCGGAAGGGCAUUGGAAACUGGCGGACUCGAGUCCCGGAGAGGAGGGUGGAAUUCCUGGUGUAGCGGUGAAAUGCGUAGAUAUCAGGAGGAACACCGGUGGCGAAGGCGGCCCUCUGGACGGUGACUGACGCUGAGACGCGAAAGCGUGGGGAGGCAAAACA
rnacentral:rRNA from 1 species